rnacentral:rRNA from 1 species
UGUACAAAGGUAGCAUAAUCAUUUGUCUUUUAAUUGGAGUCUGGAAUGAAGGGUUGGAUGAAUGAUCUACUUUCUUUAUUUUUUAAAAAAAAGUUAAUUUUUGAGUCAAAAAGCUUAAAUUUUAAUAUAGGACGAGAAGACCCUAUAGAACUUUAUUAUUUGUAAAAUUAUAGUUUUUUUGAUUAUAAUUUAUAAUGAUUUUGCAAAUAAUUUUGUUGGGGUGACAGAAAAAAUUUUAUAACUUUUUUUAUUUAUUUCAUUUAUGUAUGUUUUUAUGAUCCUGUUUUAUGGAAAAAAGAUUAAGUUACCUUAGGGAUAACAGCGUUAUUACUUUAGAGAGUUCUUAUUGAUAAAGUAGUUUGCGACCUCGAUGUUGGAUUAAAAUAAAUAUCAGGGGCAGAAUAUUGAUUAUUGAGUCUGUUCGACCUUUAAAUUUUUACAUGAUCUGAGUUCAAACCGGAGA